GAUGAACGCUGGCGGCGUGCUUAACACAUGCAAGUCGAACGGUGAAGCAGAGCUUGCUCUGUGGAUCAGUGGCGAACGGGUGAGUAACACGUGAGCAACCUGCCCCUGACUCUGGGAUAAGCGCUGGCAACGGCGUCUAAUACCGGAUAUGAGCUGCGACCGCCUGGUCAGCGGAUGGGAAGAUUUGACGGUCUGGGAUGGGCUCACGGCCUAUCAGCUUGUUGGGGGGGUAAUGGGUCACCAAGGCGUCGCGGGGUACCCGGCCUGAGGUGGGGCCCGGCCACGCUUGGACUGAGACACGGCCCAGACUCCUACUGGAGGCUGCAGUGGGGCAUAUUGCACCAUGGGCGAGUGCGUGAUGCAGCAACGCCGCGUGAGGGAUGACGGCCUUCGGGUUGUAAACCUCUUUUAGAAGGGAAGAAGCGAAAGUGACGGUACCUGCAGAAAAAGCGCCGGCUAUCUACG
rnacentral:rRNA from 1 species